UACGUAGGGAGCAAGCGUUGUCCGGAAUCAUUGGGCGUAAAGCGCGCGUAGGUGGCUCUAUAAGUCCGUUGUGAAAGUCAAAGGCUCAACCUUUGAAAGCCGAUGGAUACUGUAGAGCUAGAGUCGGAGAGGAGGAGUGAAUUCGAUUCGUUGGUGCGGCGGAAAUGCGUAGAUAUCAAAGAGGAACACCUGCGGCGAAGGCGGGUUGCUGGCCGACACUGACGCUGAGGCGCGAAAGCCAGGGGAGCGAACAGG
rnacentral:rRNA from 1 species